UACGGGGGGAGCAAGCGUUGUUCGGAUUUACUGGGCGUAAAGGGCGCGUAGGCGGCACCGCAAGUCGACUGUGAAAUCUCCGGGCUUAACUCGGAAAGGUCAGCCGAUACUGCGGGGCUAGAGUGCAGAAGGGGCAACUGGAAUCUCGGUGUAGCGGUGAAAUGCAUAGAUAUCGAGAGGAACACCUGCGGCGAAGGCGGUUUGCUGGGCUGACACUGACGCUGAUGCGCGAAAGCUAGGGAGCGAACGGG
rnacentral:rRNA from 1 species